rnacentral:rRNA from 1 species
UACGUAGGGUGCAAGCGUUAAUCGGAAUUACUGGGCGUAAAGCGUGCGCAGGCGGUUUUGUAAGUCUGUCGUGAAAGCCCCGGGCUCAACCUGGGAAUUGCGAUGGAGACUGCAAGGCUUGAAUCUGGCAGAGGGGGGUAGAAUUCCACGUGUAGCAGUGAAAUGCGUAGAGAUGUGGAGGAACACCGAUGGCGAAGGCAGGCC